UACGUAGGGUGCGAGCGUUAAUCGGAAUUACUGGGCGUAAAGCGUGCGCAGGCGGUUCGCUGUGUCCUGUGUGAAAGCCCCGGGCUUAACCUGGGAACUGCAUCUCAUACUGUAUGACUGGAGUAUUGUAGAGGGUAGUGGAAUUUCCGGUGUAGCGGUGAAAUGCGUAGAGAUCGGAAGGAACACCAGUGGCGAAGGCGGCUACCUGGACAAAUACUGACGCUGAGGCGCGAGAGCGUGGGGAGCAAACAGG
rnacentral:rRNA from 1 species